rnacentral:lncRNA from 1 species
GGCUUCCUGAUCCUAGGUGUUAUGUUGAGUGUUGUUCUUUGGUCUCUAGGAACUCUGAGCAGCAGCAGGGCACCUAUAGAGCUGCUGACUUGGAUUGUCCUGUGGCCAUAUUCACUGUCAUCUUGAUAUUACUGGUGAACCUGAUGCACAGGCUCCAAUGCUGGACGUCUCGCUACCCACCGGGCCCCGUGCCAUGGCUUGUGCUGGGUAACCUGCUGCAGGCAGACCUACAUAACAUGACAUACAACUUAUACAAGGUUAGUAACUUAGUGAUGGAUGGUAACUGAGUUUAUGGUAGUUGUUGCAGCACAUUGUGGGAGUUGAGCCACAGGUCAGACAGGAAUCUGGGCCCCCUUGCGAGCACAGGCUUAGAAAUUUCUUUUGUGGCAUGCAUUGGGAAUUUUUAGGGCAAAAAUUUUGUGGGUCAAAGUCCAUGAGGUAAAGCAGGAUGUGACAACAGGCUUCAGGCUGGUUUGACAGUGUAGCAGUCAUAGAGGUCCCAAGUCCCUUUGAUCCGGUCAAAGAUGAGGCCUUACCAUGGUGCAAAGUCUAGUCCACCAUGUCAGUCAGGACACUGAGUGGAGAGAGGGCUUGUGGUAGCCUGAACCUCUUGUCUGCUUUGAGCUCUUUGGCCUCACUCCCCAUCUCAAAAAACCAGAGAUUUUUCAUGUGGGAUGAAAUGCUAAGGGACUCCAAGACAGUUUUCUGGCUCUUGUAAGGCCACUCCUGGUAUGUCAUAUCUACAGUGAUUCCUUUGCUGAACUUAAAAUAUAAGGUGCCACAGUGGUAGGCAUCCUCAUCCUAGGAAUGGAGCUUAGGUAAGAUCAUCUUCCCAGGAUAUAUGAGAACGAAAGUUCAGUAACAACCAAGACAACCACACACACACACACACACACACACACACACACACACACACACGCACGCACGCACGCACGCACGCACGCACGCACGCACACACACUGGAACCCACAUGUGCACACUCCACACCUUGCCCAUGUUUGCUAAGUGAGCCUGGUUGCAUGACCUUUGGGGACCUCUAAUUCCUAUGUUCUCUGUCCCUGUACUUCAGCUUCAAAAUUGGUGUGGUGAUGUGUUCAGCCUGCAGAUGAUCAGCAAGCCUGUGGUCGUGAUCAAGGGACUGAAUGCGGUGGGGGAAUUUGCUGGUGUCCUGUGGAGAGGGCACUGCUGAGUGGCCUGAAAUACCCAUCUUUCAUCACAUAGUCUGUGGGCCCAAAACUAAAGGCAAAACGCUGUGUUGGGAGCAGAGAUGGGAUCAUAACCAGACAUGGGAAACUGAGCAGAAGAAGAUCAGGGCAUAAUGCAGGAGGUAAUUUAGAUAAGAUUUUUAAAAAACCACUGAAAUCCAAUUGGCCCUCCUUAUCAUGCUCGAGUAUGGUAGAGAUGUGUUUGGGAGGAAUGUGUGAGAUUAUGGGGGACACUGAUCCCAGAAGAGAAGAGAAAUGAAGGGGGGAGAGGGCAGCACACCCAGAUAUUCUUGGUUACACAUAGACGUACCUGCAGGUGUGAUCCUUGCACCUUAAGGGUGUGAGUGGCGAGAGCAGAGGUUCUGUGUCUAUCCUGUGUAACUUCAGCCUGGGCAAGAAAUCACUGGAACAGUGUGUGAUGGAGAAGGCUGGCCACAUCUGUGAUGCCUUCACUGUCCAGGCUGGUGGGUGAUGGAUGUGGACAAUAUUCUGACUUUUACCUGCAUCUCCACUCCCAGGGAGUUCCCUCAAUCCUUUGUCCCUCCUGGACAAAAGCUUGUGUAAUGUGGUUGCAUACCUCAUUUAUGCCCAUGAAUCAGCACCAGGCAGGAAAUUUGUUGGGUAGUAGGCAUGGGGAAGUAAAGGGGGUGGGAAAGAACCCACGUCUCACCAGAAUUCCCAUGAGCACACUCUCCAUGUGACCCUGGGUGGGUGUCUGACUGUGUGAAUCUAUGGACCCAGUCCACAAGGGGUGGACAGGGGGCAUUCCAAGGUCUCUGGGCCUCAUGGAUGCCAGAGAUAACAGGUUCUCAGUCUUAGACAUCUCAGAUGCCAUUGUAUGUCAUGGAAGAGCUGAGAACAAAGUGGGGGCUCGGUCAGUCCCAGGGCCAAAAGGAGAGGGCAGGGGGGAGAGGGCGGGCACUUGGUGGUUUCCAUGCUGGUGAGAGUCCUUGGUCUUGUCCAUGGCUGGAGUGCAGGAAGGCCUUCUGGCGGGAGGUUAGAUGCAGCACUUUAGGGGAAAGCCUACUCCAUCGCUCAAGCAUGGCGGGCUUUGAUGAGCAGAGAGUCUAUGAUUUUAGAGCUUUAUUGUAGAAAGGCAGAGAGAAAGACAAAAGGUAAAA